rnacentral:rRNA from 1 species
UCCUUUGAGACCGGCGCACGGGUGCGUAACGCGUAUGCAAUCUACCUUGUACAGGGGAAUAGCCCAGAGAAAUUUGGAUUAAUGCCCCAUAGUAUAUAACCUUCGCAUGUUGGUUAUAUUAAAGUUCCAACGGUACAAGAUGAGCAUGCGUCCCAUUAGUUAGUUGGUAAGGUAACGGCUUACCAAGACGAUGAUGGGUAGGGGUCCUGAGAGGGAGAUCCCCCACACUGGUACUGAGACACGGACCAGACUCCUACGGGAGGCAGCAGUGAGGAAUAUUGGUCAAUGGUCGCAAGACUGAACCAGCCAUGCCGCGUGCAGGAAGACGGUCCUAUGGAUUGUAAACUGCUUUUAUACAGGAAGAAACCCUCCCACGUGUGGGAGCUUGACGGUACUGUAGGAAUAAGGAUCGGCUAACUCCGUGCCAGCAGCCGCGGUAAUACGGAGGAUCCAAGCGUUAUCCGGAAUCAUUGGGUUUAAAGGGUCCGUAGGCGGUCUUAUAAGUCAGUGGUGAAAGCCCAUCGCUCAACGAUGGAACUGCCAUUGAUACUGUAAGACUUGAAUGCUUAGGAAGUAACUAGAAUAUGUAGUGUAGCGGUGAAAUGCUUAGAUAUUACAUGGAAUACCAAUUGCGAAGGCAGGUUACUACUAAGUGAUUGACGCUGAUGGACGAAAGCGUGGGGAGCGAACAGGAUUAGAUACCCUGGUAGUCCACGCCGUAAACGAUGGAUACUAGCUGUUCGGCGCAAGUUGAGUGGCUAAGCGAAAGUGAUAAGUAUCCCACCUGGGGAGUACGCACGCAAGUGUGAAACUCAAAGGAA